UACGGGGGGAGCAAGCGUUGUUCGGAUUUACUGGGCGUAAAGGGCGCGUAGGCGGCGUGACAAGUCACUUGUGAAAUCUCCGGGCUUAACUCGGAACGGUCAAGUGAUACUGUCGUGCUAGAGUACAGAAGGGGCAACUGGAAUUCUCGGUGUAGCGGUGAAAUGCGUAGAUAUCGAGAGGAACACCUGCGGCGAAGGCGGGUUGCUGGGCUGAUACUGACGCUGAGGCGCGAAAGCCAGGGGAGCGAAUGGG
rnacentral:rRNA from 1 species